rnacentral:rRNA from 1 species
AGGGAAAAGCUCAAAUUUUGAAUCUGGUGUCUUUGGCGCCCGAGUUGUAAUCUAGAGAAGUGUUUUCCGCACCGGACCGCGCACAAGUUCCCUGGAACGGGGCGUCAUAGAGGGUGAGAAUCCCGUACGUGGCGUGGACUCCCGGUGCUCUGUGAUACACUCUCAAC